GCGUCUUUGGUGUAGCGGUAACACACAGCCUCCCACUAUUCAGAUAGAAGUUCCAGUUUAGGCUGAGUCCGGGGUUCGACCCCCCGAGGACGCA